UACGGGGGGAGCAAGCGUUGUUCGGAUUUACUGGGCGUAAAGGGCGCGUAGGCGGCGCAACAAGUCACUUGUGAAAUCUCCGGGCUUAACCCGGAGCGGUCAAGUGAUACUGUCGUGCUAGAGUGCGGAAGGGGCUACUGGAAUUCUCGGUGUAGCGGUGAAAUGCGCAGAUAUCAGGAGGAACACCAGUGGCGGAAGGCGGUGCUCUGGCCCGAUACUG
rnacentral:rRNA from 1 species